GGGCGGGUGGUCUAGUGGUAUGAUUUUCCCUUAGCAUGGGAGAGGUCCGGGGUUCAAUUCCCCGUCUGUCCA
rnacentral:tRNA from 4 species